CCAGACUCCUACGGGAGGCAGCAGUGAGGGAUAUUGGUCAAUGGGGGAAACCCUGAACCAGCAACGCCGCGUGAGGGAAGACGGUUUUCGGAUUGUAAACCUCUGUCCUCUGUGAAGAUAAUGACGGUAGCAGAGGAGGAAGCUCCGGCUAACUACGUGCCAGCAGCCGCGGUAAUACGUAGGGAGCAAGCGUUAUCCGGAUUUAUUGGGUGUAAAGGGUGCGUAGACGGGAAGGCAAGUUGGUUGUGAAAUCCCUCGGCUUAACUGAGGAACUGCAACCAAAACUAUCUUUCUUGAGUGCUGGAGAGGAAGGUGGAAUUCCUAGUGUAGCGGUGAAAUGCGUAGAUAUUAGGAGGAACACCAGUGGCGAAGGCGACUUUCUGGACAGUAACUGACGUUGAGGCACGAAAGUGUGGGGAGCAAACAGGAUUAGAUACCCUCGUACC
rnacentral:rRNA from 1 species